UACGUAGGGUGCGAGCGUUAAUCGGAAUUACUGGGCGUAAAGCGUGCGCAGGCGGUUCGUUGUGUCGGCGGUGAAAGCCCCGGGCUCAACCUGGGAAUGGCCGUCGAAACUGGCGAACUGGAGUGUGGCAGAGGGGGGUGGAAUUCCGCGUGUAGCAGUGAAAUGCGUAGAGAUGCGGAGGAACACCGAUGGCGAAGGCAGCCCCCUGGGCUGACACUGACGCUCAGGCACGAAAGCGUGGGGAGCAAACAGG
rnacentral:rRNA from 1 species